rnacentral:rRNA from 1 species
CCUACGGGAGGCAGCAGUAAGGAAUAUUGGUCAAUGGGGGCAACCCUGAACCAGCCAUGCCGCGUGCAGGAAGACGGCCCUACGGGUUGUAAACUGCUUUUAUACGGGAAUAAACCUCUCUUCGUGAAGAGAGCUGAAUGUACUGUAAGAAUAAGGAUCGGCUAACUCCGUGCCAGCAGCCGCGGUAAUACGGAGGAUCCAAGCGUUAUCCGGAUUUAUUGGGUUUAAAGGGUGCGUAGGCGGCCUAUUAAGUCAGGGGUGAAAGACGGUGGCUCAACCAUCGCAGUGCCCUUGAUACUGAUGGGCUUGAUUACACUUGAGGUAGGCGGAAUGUGACAAGUAGCGGUGAAAUGCAUAGAUAUGUCACAGAACACCAAUUGCGAAGGCAGCUUACUAAGGUGUUAAUGACGCUGAGGCACGAAAGCGUGGGGAUCAAACAGGAUUAGAUACCCUGGUAGUCCACGCCCUAAACGAUGAAUACUCGAUGUUAGCGAUAUACAGUUAGCGUCAAAGCGAAAGCGUCAAGUAUUCCACCUGGGGAGUACGCCCGCAGGGUGAAACUCAAAGAGUAGUCGCGCGNGAGAGCGACGACGACGACGAGGAGGGAGGAG